CCUUUUCCCCUUUUAUUACAUGAGAUCAUUGAGACAAAUAAUCAAACAUCUAUAUAUGUAGUGAGGAAACAUAUAGAUUUAAAGAAGUUUGUGAGAAAUUCAAAGUUUGUUAGUGAUAAUGGGAGAAGAGGAAAUGCCAUUUUCAUGCUAUAUCAAAAGCUCGGUUGAUAAAGUGGUAGCUAGGAAAGAGUUGCGGGAUGAUCUUGUGAUUCUUUUAAGCUAAGGAAAGGUAAACAAAAAUUCAAACCCUCAAUUCUUUAAUUUUAUGGCCGUGAGGCCUAAGUGUGUGGGUUAGUUUAUUUUAUUUUCAUGGUGUUCAUUUUCUUUAUUAAAGUUGUAAAUCCAUGUCUUGUAGUACUAGAUCUCUAGAAAUAAAGUGUUUUGGUUACUAAAAUUUUGAUUCACAAGAAAAUGAGUUUUGUAGAAGUAAGAGUAUGAGCUUUUCACUUUGUUAAUAAAGUUGUGCGAGUCUAUGUGAUUACACAUCCAAAAGAAAUUUGUUUGUUUUGAG
rnacentral:lncRNA from 1 species